UUCCUUUCCUCGUCCACAACCAUCCAUCCUUCUGGGCAUAGCUGGCUUUAUCCCACUUCCAGACCCAGAAUUAGAAAAAUAACAUGUCAAAACAGGGAGACAUAUUUGCUGUCAGUAUUCUGCAGUGACUUCAGAGGGGCAGUGGUCACCCUGCUGGAACAGCCCUAACAGCUCUUUGUAGCUCUACAGCAGCUGUGGAUAUGGAUCUGUACCACACAUGACACACUGAAGCCUCCUGCAGCCUCUUCACAAGGAAACAGCUUCUCU